rnacentral:rRNA from 1 species
CACGUAGUUAGCCGGGGCUUCUUAGUCAGGUACCGUCAUUUUCUUCCCUGCUGAUAGAGCUUUACAUACCGAAAUACUUCCUCGCUCACGCGGCGUCGCUGCAUCAGGGUUUCCCCCAUUGUGCAAUAUUCCCCACUGCUGCCUCCCGUAGGAGUUUGGGCCGUGUCUCAGUCCCAAUGUGGCCGGUCGCCCUCUCAGGUCGGCUACUGAUCGUCGGCUUGGUAGGCUUCUACCCCACCAACUACCUAAUCAGACGCGGGCCCAUCUUACACCACCUCAGUUUUUACCUCUGUACCAUGCGGUACUGGGGUCUUAUGCGGUAUUAGCAAUCAUUUCUAAUUGUUAUCCCCCUGUGUAAGGCAGGUUGCCCACGCGUUACUCACCCGUCCGCCGCUAAGUCACCCUCUCUUCCCUCCGAAGAGUUCUAAAAAGUGCUUCGCUCGACUUGCAUGUGUUAAGCACGCCGCCAGCGUUCAUCCUGAGCCAGGAUCAAACUCU